UGCUGUGAUAGCUCAGCAGUCGAUAGGGCAUGAGACUCUUAAUCUCAGGGUUGUGGGUUCGAGCCCCACAUUGGGCAA